rnacentral:rRNA from 1 species
CCUACGGGAGGCAGCAGUGAGGAAUAUUGGUCAUUGGACGCAAGUCUGAACCAGCCAUGCCGCGUGCAGGAAGACGGCUCUAUGAGUUGUAAACUGCUUUUGUACGAGGGUAAACGCAGAUACGCGUAUCUGUCUGAAAGUAUCGUACGAAUAAGGAUCGGCUAACUCCGUGCCAGCAGCCGCGGUAAUACGGAGGAUUCAAGCGUUAUCCGGAUUUAUUGGGUUUAAAGGGUGCGUAGGCGGUCGGAUAAGUUAGAGGUGAAAUCCCGAGGCUCAACUUCGGAAUUGCCUCUGAUACUGUUCGGCGAGAGAGUAGUUGCGGUAGGCGGAAUGUAUGGUGUAGCGGUGAAAUGCUUAGAGAUCAUACAGAACACCGAUUGCGAAGGCAGCUUACCAAGCUACUUCUGACGUUGAGGCACGAAAGCGUGGGGAGCAAACAGGAUUAGAUACCCUAGUAGUC